UGGCUCAGGAUGAGCGCUAGCUACAGGCUUAACACAUGCAAGUCGAGGGGCAGCAUGGUCUUAGCUUGCUAAGGCCGAUGGCGACCGGCGCACGGGUGAGUAACACGUAUCCAACCUGCCGUCUACUCUUGGACAGCCUUCUGAAAGGAAGAUUAAUACAAGAUGGCAUCAUGAGUCCGCAUGUUCACAUGAUUAAAGGUAUUCCGGUAGACGAUGGGGAUGCGUUCCAUUAGAUAGUAGGCGGGGUAACGGCCCACCUAGUCUUCGAUGGAUAGGGAUUCUGAGAGGAAGGUCCCCCACAUUGGAACGGAGACACGGUCCAAACUCCUACGGGAGGCAGCAGUGAGGAAUAUUGGUCAAUGGGCGAGAGCCUGAACCAGCCAAGUAGCGUGAAGGAUGACUGCCCUAUGGGUUGUAAACUUCUUUUAUAAAGGAAUAAAGUCGGGUAUGGAUACCCGUUUGCAUGUACUUUAUGAAUAAGGAUCGGCUAACUCCGUGCCAGCAGCCGCGGUAAUACGGAGGAUCCGAGCGUUAUCCGGAUUUAUUGGGUUUAAAGGGAGCGUAGAUGGAUGUUUAAGUCAGUUGUGAAAGUUUGCGGCUCAACCGUAAAAUUGCAGUUGAUACUGGAUAUCUUGAGUGCAGUUGAGGCAGGCGGAAUUCGUGGUGUAGCGGUGAAAUGCUUAGAUAUCACGAAGAACUCCGAUUGCGAAGGCAGCCUGCUA
rnacentral:rRNA from 1 species